AGUCUUUAACUGAAGGGCACUGACUGGGUCACUGGUGAAGUUCCCCGCAGGAACUGAGUCAGACCCCAUCUCAGGGCCCUGCACAAGAUAGGUGCCUGCUCUAAGGCGUGGACCCUCGCCACAGCCCUGGCCCGUCUUGACGGGCGAGGGUUACUGUACUUGUCCCAACCGUACAGAUGAGAAAGCUGAGACUCAGGGCCAGCAACCCGGGUCCCAGCGGAGCGCCCGGCACACGCCGACACUUCAGCACCAGUGGCGGUGGCCACCACUGUGGGCGGAGAUGGCUGCGACGCGUGCGCAGAUCUCGAUCCCAAACUCCCUCCUGCCAGAAUCUGGACCCGAAUCCACCCAUUGCCCGUUUUCCGCUGCCGCUGGAGAGAAUCUCUGAGGUCCCCAGGAGAGCCUGCCUGCACGGAAGAGACGCCUCCUCGUGCUUCCCUUGCAGGUGAAAUGGCCACCAGACCCAGGCUUUCUGGAAUGCAUUCAUUUUCUGCAGUUGAAAGGGACAAUCCCGGAUCUGAAAGAAAGAGCCACAGUGACUCCAAGAGUGGAGCCAGGGCAUGCUGGACACUGCAUAGCUAUGGCCACGUGUGUCACCUCCGAGGGAGAUGUGAGAGAAACGCAGAGGGAUCGCUUGUGACUGUGCCUUCUCGAUGUAUGAUGGACUGUUCUGCUCAAAUAGCAGCAGUAGGGCUUAUGGGAGCCAUUGUACAGUGACAGGAACAUACCAGGACACUGAGAAUAGCGUCAUGUCAUAAGGACUCAGAGCAGGUGGACCCUGCUGUGAUGCACAAAGGUGAGGGUGCAGCUGCCCAGGACACACUCAUGCAUGUUUGUGUGGACCAUGGAAGAUGGCAGGGGAAGAGCUGUCAGGUUGCUGGGGCAGAGGGUGCGCAUGAGUACUCGCCUAGGACCAUGCAAGAUAUGAUAAAGAUCUAUGUCACUGAAUUUUGUUUCUGUAUUUGUAUCUCAGCUUCCCAGAAAUAAAAAAGAAUUCUAACAUUCAUACUUUCAGUAUUUUAUGUGAGAGGUUUUGUUGUCAAAAUCAAGUCUGAGAGCAAUGUUUAUUGGGGCCUUUCAUUGGAGUCACCAAGCAAUAAAGGGGACAUUGUCUUCAACAAUAACCCUAUAAUAAACACGUUUUGGACAAUAAA
rnacentral:lncRNA from 1 species